rnacentral:rRNA from 1 species
GACGAACGCUGGCGGCGUGCUUAACACAUGCAAGUCGAACGGUGAAAGCGGAGCUUGCUCCGCUGGAUCAGUGGCGAACGGGUGAGUAACACGUGGGCAACCUGCCCCUCACUUCGGGAUAACUCCGGGAAACCGGGGCUAAUACCGGAUAUGACCUCCUUGGGCAUCCUUGGAGGUGGAAAGUUUUUCGGUGAGGGAUGGGCCCGCGGCCUAUCAGCUCGUUGGUGAGGUAGUGGCUCACCAAGGCGACGACGGGUAGCCGGCCUGAGCGGGCGACCGGCCAAACUGGGACUGAGACACGGCCCAGACUCCUACGGGAGGCAGCAGUGGGGAAUAUUGCGCAAUGGGCGAAAGCCUGACGCAGCAACGCCGCGUGCGGGAUGACGGCCUUCGGGUUGUAAACCGCUUUCAGCAGGGAAGAAGCCGCAAGGUGACGGUACCUGCAGAAGAAGCACCGGCUAACUACGUGCCAGCCGCCGCCGUAA